UACAGAGGUCUCAAGCGUUGUUCGGAUUCAUUGGGCGUAAAGGGUGCGUAGGCGGCGUCGUAAGUCGGGUGUGAAAUCUCGGGGCUUAACUCCGAAAUUGCAUUCGAUACUGCGGUGCUUGAGGACUGGAGAGGAGACUGGAAUUCACGGUGUAGCAGUGAAAUGCGUAGAUAUCGUGAGGAAGACCGGUGGCGAAGGCGGGUCUCUGGACAGUUCCUGACGCUGAGGCACGAAGACCAGGGGAGCAAACGGG
rnacentral:rRNA from 1 species